UCCUUCAGGCACGCUUAAUCGUCUUGCGUC
rnacentral:piRNA from 1 species